GGCUACCACUGCCAAGCUCUGGCAAGCCCCCAGCUGUUAGUAGUGAUGACUGAGAGGAAGUAGGCUUUGCCUUUCCACAGUCUCGUAGGAUCCUCUAGAGACAUCGGUGUUUGACUCUUAUGCAUCAAGAGUGCAGCCCUGAUGAGUCCUGACAGAUGAAGCACCAGGAGCUGUAGAGGAUGCACCGGAUCUAGAUGGCGGCAGCUGCAAGUGACAGGUUCAUGUAAGUAAAACCUACCAUACCUCUGCACUCCCCAACCAACACUCUUUAACUAGCCCCUUACCCAAAGAGGUCUUUACAAAAUAUACAUAAACCCUAGAAGGUGACAGAGGCACUUUAAAGCAACAUUGUCACUG